GGCCCGCACAAGCGGUGGAGCAUGUGGUUAAAUUCGAUGCAACGCGAAGAACCUUACCAGGGCUUGACAUGCCCGCGACCCCACAAGGGUCGUGCUCUUCCAAGAAAAGGGAAGAAGUUUUUUUUAAACGGACACAGGUGGUGCAUGGCUGUCGUCAGCUCGUGUCGUGAGACGUUGGGUUAAGUCCCGCAACGAGCGCAACCCCCGUGAGAAGUUGCCUAUUUUUAAUAGUGCUCUCUACUCAGACUGCCGGUGACAAGCCGGAGGAAGGUGAGGAUGACGUCAAGUCAGCAUGCCCCUUACGCCCUGGGCUACACACGUGCUACAAUGGCCGGGACAAUAGGAUGCUACCCCGCAAGGAUAAGCUAAGCCCCAAACCCGGUCUCAGUUCGGAUUGUAGGCUGCAACUCGCCUGCAUGAAGGAGGAAUCGCUAGUAAUCGCCGGUCAGCCACACGGUGGUGAAUACGUUCCCGGGCCUUGUACACACCGCCCGUCACACUAGGGGAGCUGGCUCUGCUCUAAGUCGUGACUCUAACCGUGAGGAGGAGAACGCCAAAAGCAGGGCUCGUGACUCGAGUGAAGUCGUAACAAGGUAGCG
rnacentral:rRNA from 1 species